UUUCCGUAGGUGAACCUGCGGAAGGAUCAUUAUUGUAUAACCGAGGGUCGAGGUCUCUCGCUGACCCGAGAGCUCGUGCACGCACGAUUGACCUCACACACAUCCAUCUCACGCCUAUAUGCACCACCGCGUGCGUCCCCCUUGGGCUUGUUUGUAGGGUUGCUUACGUUUUGACACAUUCGAUUGUUUAAAUGUAGAAUGUCAUUUUAUUUUUUGUGUUCACACAAUCAAUACAACUUUCAACAACGGAUCACAUCGCACCAGCAUCGAUGAAAAACC
rnacentral:misc_RNA from 1 species